GCCGCGGCUCCACCCGCUGAGCUGCCAACAGGGCCAGGAGUCCCAAAGCACAGCGAAACCGACGGAGCCUUCCUCCUCCCGAGGCGGGGUCGUCGAAGGAGCGGCCGCCCCGUGCCGGGGGCCUCCAGUUCCAUCAAUGUCUGCUCAUGUUCCAGUGCCGGUGUGGGGUGAGCAGGAGCUGCACAGCAACAGCGGAAAAACACACGGGAGAUGGGAAGGAAAGGCAGUGCCCUGUGGGAUCCCACACUGCAGGGCUGCUCUGCGGCACCAGGGCAGGUGCAAACCACGCUUCCCACGGGGCAAAGGGCAAGGAGCCUUGCCUGGGGCAGAUGGGGCAGGCACCAGCUUAUGUGCUCGAGCCAAAAGGACAGCAUUCAGUGGCAUUAACCACGUGGGUGUAACUGAAUUACAGCAGGAGGAUGUGAAACCUCACGUCUAACCUCAGCUAAUAUUAAGUGGCCACUUGCUCAGCACUCGCAGAUGUCUCUGUGUUCCCUGCACCUCCACACGUACUGCGGCUUCUCUGGAAAGCCCUCGUGACUCCAGCGGAGGUUCAAUUUUCCUUUCCACGCGUGCAGCCCGCUCUGCACAAUGCACCGCUUGAGUUCUGCACUUCCUUCUUGUGAGCUGAUGUGACGAGAUAAGGACAACGCCCGGCAAAGGAAGCGGGGUCAGCAGAGCUCAUCAGUGAGCUGCCCAAACAGCAGAGCUGUGCUCAGUGUGUUCACGCUGCUCCCCUUGUCACAGAGCUGGCACGUGGAAGGGUGGCCGGGUGCUCCUCCAUCCCCUGGGUGCUCCUCUGUCCCACGUGCUCCCCCACCUCUUAGUGCUGCUCCAUCGCUGGGUGCUCACCCAUCCCCUGGGAGCAGCUUCUCCACCACUGGCUGCUCAUCCAUCCCCGUUUUCAUGCCCCCAGGGUGUACUCAGCUAAAUGCUCCCAGGCAGAUCCACUUUGCAGCCCUUCCACAUCAGGAUCGUUGCCAUAAAUUAUUCAGGAAACCAGUCGAUAAGAUGCAUCUCCCGUUGCUCUGGGCGGCAGUGCCAGUACCUACAGCCUUCAUGGGGAAGAAGCAAACACUCUAAUUUUCUGAUGGACUCACAAUGGGAGAACAGAAGAGCAGCCGCAUUCUGGUACCAAGUGCACAUUCCAUGUUCUCUCACAGAAGCAGCAGUGCUGACACCGUCCCUGCUCCAUCCCUCCUGUGCUCAGGAUGCACAUGUUUGCUUGCUACAAGUGGGGAAACAAAAGCACGUGGUGCCAAAGGGACGUCGGCCCGGACGCGGGUGGAGCAGGGCGUCCUCGGAGCCAGGGCUGCGGUGGAAAAAAACAGUGUUGGGAGGAAACAGCUCCUGCUGCCUGAGGCUCACGGGGCAAUGGCAGGCACGAAAGGCUGCAAAGUUCCUUCCUGAGAUCCAAAUAUUAGUUUUUACUCAUUUUCCACUUCUGAAAACAAAUGCCGCUGGCCUGGAGCGCUACUGAGCUGUUCCACUUCCCAGCCCAGAACAAAGGGCUGCACUGUGGCUCCUCCAGCCCUGGGACCGCUGCUGGAGAGGAAUCUAGAAGGCAAAACCCUGCCCUGGGUGUGGAACACACGGCUGUGCCAUCCAGCAGGAUGUGGAAAAUGCACUGGAACUGCACACAGAGGAGAUGGAGCCAUCGGGAGCCUCUCUGGGGGCAGAGAAGUCCCUGUGUGACCACAUCACACUAUGGAGGAACCCCACUGCGUUUCUGCAGUGGAGCUGCAGUGCUGCAAUGAAGCCCUGAAAUCUUCCAACUGUUUGAGAUCAUCAUACUAAAUGAUCGAUCAGCUUUGUGUUCUUUCAGCAAAGCACAAGAGGUGCAAAGUGGGAUGUCCCCAUGGGCACCCCCAGCAGGACCCCAGCAGAGCACAGCCCAGAAGAGAAGACAGAGAGCUGAUGUGACAGGCCCGGGGCGCUCCCCCAGCCGGGCAUUAGCAGCAAACUUGGACGUCUCCGUUAACAAAAUAAAACGGGAAUGCGUGAGAUGAUCCUAUUUCCAGCUGCGGCUCCUCCCCUGUGCAUUCGGCCUCCCCAGCGACUCAGUAAUUUUAGGCACUGCUUUUGGAGCUAUAAACAGCCCGAGUGGGACUGACAUUGCUGGGCAGACCAACGAGGGCAGAGGGUGGGGUGAGCCCGUGGGGGGGGGGGGGUCUGCAGCAGCAAAGGGACCCAGGAGCGUGUGUUACCUUUGCACCCUCCAGAUGAGUGUUUACCUCCACAAAAGCAGCCAGUCCUUGCUGGCUCUGUAGGAACAUUGCAUUCCCGUCUGCGAAGUAAACAAAGUGCUUCUUGCUGGGAAAGCAUGGGAUCUCCACCAGGUUACGGACUGGGAACGACGCCACCAACAGAGGUUUUCCCAGCAGCACAGAAGUCAAGGACUUCCUCUCCCCCCCCCAGACCUUCCCACAUUGCCAGAGGAAGGGCGACUCCUGAUGAGAGCAAUUCUGGAGGCUGCGGGCUGUGACACGAUGCCGGCACACUGCAGGUGCUGCCAUGGGUGAUGGCAGCCACGUGGAGCUGGACCAUGGGGUCCUUGGGGGUCCUUUCCACAUCAGGGCGCUCCAGGACUGGGGGCCAUCAGGAGGAAUGGGGACAGUCCCUGGUGAGAGCAGUGCUGUGCUUUGUGCUCACAGCACCCUGUGUGCUCCUCCACUUUAUGUGAGCACAAUGACUGGAAAACACUGUUUUCCAGCCAGCAUCUGCUAAUUAAAAUAAAAAGCAAUGCCAUACACUCCCUAGAGAGCUCUGGGCUGCUCGCAUGGAAUAAAAGAGACAAAUGCUAACAAUAACAGCAAGACUCCAGCCCUGCCCUGAUGAGAGCAGCCUCUGCUCCCAAUGGGUCCCUUUGUUUGCAGCAACUUGCCUUCUCGUUCUGCAUGGUAAAUAUUUAAUGUGCCAUCUCUGGCAGCCCAGCUACUGGGAGAAAAGUGCUUUUUGGGUCUGCGGGCCAUGAGGCAAAGCGAGAAGUGAGGGGUGAGAGCCACAGGGUCCCCAGGACACCCCACAGCACAUGGCAGUACUGGGUGCCUCGGGAUGGAUGUGCACACCUCUGUGCAGGGAGCGAUGCCAUCGAACUGAGUGUAGAAGCAGGUAAUGGUGAGGAUAUGACAAAAGUAGAAGGCGAAAUUAUGAAAGUCCUACAAACAACGGCACAGCACACCCAGCUCCACCAGCAUCUCCUCGUGCUGCCAGCCACGGCCCCACCUGCUCCCUGCACCCACCCUCCGAGUUCAGCAUCACAGAAAAACUUCAGUUAUUUCUGCAUGGAUUAAAAAAAACCCACCAGCCCAGAUUUCAUGAAGGGAAAGGCAGCCCGCACGCAGCUAAUUUGGGAGAAGAGAAACUAUUUUCUUUCACACAGACGAAGCCGUGGGGAUGGAAAUAAGUUCCUAAGCAAGACUGGCUGAAAGGAGCCGGGAUGACUCAUUUCUUCAGUGCUGAAGCUGUAUUCACUCCCAGGCACCUCUAAUUCCUAUUACAACAAAAGACACCGGGAGCACCGGGGAUCACUCAGGACAAGGCACAAGAGCUCGAUUUCCUGGAGAUGAAAGAGCAGAGAAUUAAUCCCCUGUAUCGGCGGCUCCCCCAGGAUGGGCUCAGCUGGCUCCAUCCCUCACCCUCCACAGACAGGAGCUAUUUUUUCCUGUUCUUGCCAGUGUCAAUAUGUUUCUUUAAAUAUCUGUACAGAGAGGCUAUAUAUAUCGCAACACUGGUGCUUUGAAAGGAGCCUCAUUUCCUGUGUAAGAACUGAAGUUCUUGGCAAAACUGCCGGUGGCUGCAGCAUCUGAACCACAAAAAUUGUUUUGUAAAAGCAAAGAUGUCAGAAGCAAAAUGGCAUUUCCUCCACGAGGCCAAGUCACAACGGACCAGUUCCGGGGUGGGGAACGUCCCGGCGCUCACUGCAAUGCAUGCAAUGGGAUGUGCAGUGCUAUGGCAGCAAGGCUGCUCCCCAACCGUGCCCACCUGCAGAAGGGGCUGCAGGACACAAUGUCAUCAGUGCAGCAGAGGUGUGGAUUUGGGCCAGCAAAGGGUGGUAGCAGCACUCACAGCACAGAGCUCCAAAGGUUCCUUUUGGGAGCUCAAUCAUCAUUUAGGGCUGCACUGAUUUCUUCCCACAGGGAUCUCCCAGCCAGAAGUUGCUCAUCCUACACCAGCCUGGGGCUGUUAAGGACACUCCUUGUUGCUGCACUGGACACCAACAGCCAUCAAGGAAGCCUCCACCAUGACCCACACACAUUCACUCCUCUCCAACACUUGGUUUCCCAAAGGAGGGAAGAAGCCAUGCAAUAGCCCAGAGGCAGUUGGGCAGAUGUGCUCAUGGUGAGGCAGGACACUCUCCCAUACAGCGAGGUUUCCAGAUGAUGCUCAUCCCUACUCACAGUGCUGGGUGUGCUCCUGGAGCUGGCAAAGCUGUGGGGGCGAAUGGAGGCACAGCAGCACUGCGUGGCUUUGUGUCCUGCUGUGAUGCUCAGCUCCAUCUGCAUCCCACAGAAAUCCUUCCUCCUCCUGCCAUCAUCUCAAGAUCAACACCCCAGUGUCGAACAUCUCAUCUCUGCCCAGGCAGUGCACCACGUCCAUGCACUGUGAUAGCAAGCUGUGCUCCUUGGCCCAAUGCUGCCAUGGGAACAUCCACAGAGGAAGGAGCAGGGACAAGAGGGGAAGCCAGGCAGGGAGAUCCCGAGGCACAGACCCAAGGGAGGGGUCCAGGCUUCAGCCCUUCCCUGCACACCCCCAGCACAAACUUCAGCACAAAGAAGGUAUGACAGCCCAUAGCCACCACUGGGGCCUGGCGGGAUGCUCUCAUCUCCCUUUGACCACACUUGGAAAGCUGUUGAGCGUAUGGAACUUUGGUUCAGAGAAGUCACUUUCCAAGAAAAAAAACCCAAUAAAGAACCCCCGUAGUGUGA